rnacentral:lncRNA from 1 species
GCGAUCAUGGCAAACUGCAGCCUAGACCUCCUGGGCUCAGGUGAUCCUCCCACCUCGGCCUCCUGGGUAACUGGGACUACAGGUGAGUGCCACCAUACCCAGCCAAUUUUUUCUAUUUUUUGUAGACAUGAGGUUUUGCGAUGUCGCCCAGGCUGGUCUCGAACUCCUGGGCUCAAGCGAUCUACACACCUUGGCCUCUCAACUGCUAGGAUUACAGGUGUCAGCCACCACACCCAGCCUAGUGCAUUGGUUUUUUUCAGGGCAGUGGGCAAAACGAACCAGUCGGGCUAUAACUUGACCUACAGAGGAGAGGGAUCACAGAGCUCUUUGAGGAUGCUGGGGCCCUCUCACAAAUUUAUUUCUCAUAGAACGAGCCAGCAUCUCCCUAUGUUGCCCAGGCUGGACUCGAACCUCUGAGCUGAAGUGAUCCUCCCCACUCGGUCUCCCAAAGUGCUGGGAUUACAGGCAUGAGCACUGUGCCUGUUCAAACAACUAAAUAAACCAUGUCUAAAGAA